AUGAUGAGCAUGAAAAAAAAAAUGUUUGAAAAAGAGAAUGAGGAUUUCAAAGAAGAGGUUUUUAAACUGCACAAUGAGAUUUCGCGUCUCGAAAAUGCUCUGAAACACUCUGAAAAAAGAAACUAUUUAUUAGAUAAGCAAGUUCAAAGAAUGCGGUCAAAAAUGGACACAGAUGAGCAACUGUUCAAAAGGUGGGACUUGGAGUCUGGAUCUUCCUCCUGUGCCCAGGCAGCCAAGCUGUGCACUACCUGUGUUCUCUCUAAUUUCUCUCAAAGCAUCAUAAGGGAUGACAAGGACUGAGUUUUUCGUAAGGACUGGAACAAUUUCCCAGGGUUCUGAUCUCUGAACUUGAGGACCUUCAAACCUGUAGCUCCAUAUACCAAUGAUUUAAUUGCUAGUUUACACUGUGUUCUGGUGGGAAAAUACUCUCUUUAAAGCUGGAUACAGGGAGAGCAAGCAUAGAAGAGCCAUAAUUUCUAGGCUGCAUGUUAGGAUGCUCAGCAUAGAGGAAGGGACGUUUCUAUAGUUUGUUCUCAUUCUUCAGAUUUUUGCUGAGUAUUUUUGCUUGGAUUUAGGGGUGGGUGGGGGAGGCAUGUUUUGUAUAUUGUUUUCUUGAAAUUCAUAGUCUAAUGUAAAAUGCAUAAAUGAACUAGCAAGUCAAAACACAAGGUUGUCCCUUUCUCAUGCAGUCACAGCUUUGGUAUGUCAUCAAGCUCAUGC
rnacentral:lncRNA from 1 species